rnacentral:rRNA from 1 species
AUGAACGCUGGCGGCGUGCCUAAUACAUGCAAGUCGCGCGAACAGACGAGGAGCUUGCUCCUCUGACGUUAGCGGCGGACGGGUGAGUAACACGUGGAUAAUCUACCUAUAAGACUGGGAUAACUUCGGGAAACCGGAGCUAAUACCGGAUAAUAUAUUGAACCGCAUGGUUCAAUAGUGAAAGACGGUUUUGCUGUCACUUAUAGAUGGAUCCGCGCCGCAUUAGCUAGUUGGUAAGGUAACGGCUUACCAAGGCAACGAUGCGUAGCCGACCUGAGAGGGUGAUCGGCCACACUGGAACUGAGACACGGUCCAGACUCCUACGGGAGGCAGCAGUAGGGAAUCUUCCGCAAUGGGCGAAAGCUUGACGGAGCAACGCCGCGUGAGUGAUGAAGGUCUUCGGAUCGUAAAACUCUGUUAUUAGGGAAGAACAAAUGUGUAAGUAACUAUGCACGUCUUGACGGUACCUAAUCAGAAAGCCACGGCUAACUACGUG